AAGUAGAAGAUGAGUCUAGAAGAAACUCACCACCAUAGGAAGCCAUGGAUAAGAGCUUGAAGGUAAAAGAAGAUGAAUGAAGGGAGAGGAAGAGAAGAGAAUGAAAUUUAGUGCCUGAAGUCUGAACUUUGAAGUUUAAUUCUCAAAUGAUCAAAGUUGAAAAAAAUGCACACACAUGACCUCUAUUUAUAGUCUAAGUGUCCACAAAAUUGAAGGAAAAUUUGAAUUUCAAUUCAAAUUUCACUUGAAUUUGAAAUUGAAUUUGUGGAGUCAAAUUUUCACUAAUUAUGAAUAGUGAAUUUCCGUUAUGGUUCAGCCC
rnacentral:lncRNA from 1 species